UUGCAUAGUAAUAAAAGUGAUC
rnacentral:miRNA from 1 species